rnacentral:rRNA from 1 species
GACGUAGGGGGCGAGCAUUAUCCGGAAUUACUGGGCGUAAAGCGCACGCAGGCGGUCGACCACGUUCAAGGCGACAGUCACGAGCUUCACUCGUGAAGGACUUUGAAAACGGGCCGACUUGAGAGCGAGAGAGGGACAGGGAACUCCAGGUGGAGCAGUGAAAUGCGUAGAGAUCUGGAAGAACACCCAAGGCGAAGGCACUGUCCUGGCUCGUUUCUGACGCUCAGGUGCGAAAGCGAGGGGAGCGAACGGG